UACGGGGGGGGGCAAGCGUUGUUCGGAAUUACUGGGCGUAAAGGGCUCGUAGGCGGCCAACUAAGUCAGGCGUGAAAUCCCUCGGCUUAACCGGGGAACUGCAUCUGAUACUGGAUGGCUUGAGUUCGGGAGAGGGAUGCGGAAUUCCAGGUGUAGCGGUGAAAUGCGUAGAUAUCAGGAGGAACACCGGUGGCGAAGGCGGAUCUCUGGGCCUGUUCUGACGCUGAGGCGCGAAAGCUAGGGGAGCGAAUGGG
rnacentral:rRNA from 1 species